rnacentral:rRNA from 1 species
UACAGAGGGUGCAAGCGUUAAUCGGAAUUACUGGGCGUAAAGGGCGCGUAGGUGGUUAGGUAAGUCGGAUGUGAAAUCCCCGGGCUCAACCUGGGAACUGCAUUCGAAACUGUCUGACUAGAGUUUGGUAGAGGGAAGUGGAAUUCCACAUGUAGCGGUGAAAUGCGUAGAUAUGUGGAGGAACAUCAGUGGCGAAGGCGGCUUCCUGGACUAAAACUGACACUGAGGCGCGAAAGCGUGGGGAGCAAACAGG